GUUGGAAAAGACCAAGGGAAGCAGUCAUCAAGAGUGGUAUUUUCAGCCGGGCGGUGGUGGCAUACACCUUUAAUUCCAGCACUCGGGAGGCAGAGCCAGGUGGAUCUCUGUGAGUUCCAGGCCAACCUGGGCUACCAAUGAACACAACAUCACAAAGUUGGAGCCUGCUUUCCAAGAUCAGAUCCUAAUGAAGUGACAGAGAGAUUCCCUUCACUUUAUGGACAGCUUUCUCACAUAAGUGUGUCGAAGUUAUACAAGAAUUGGCAUACUGCUUCCCACAUCUACUGGAAGAAUUGAGUGAACUGGUGUUGAUCAUCUACUGUUACAUAGUUUAAGACAGGAAGAAGGCCAGUGAGCAACUAUCAGAAAAGAAUACAUCCAAAAAUAGGGACAAAGUCUCAUCAUGUAGGCAAUAUGAGCCUUAUGCUCAUAGAAAUUCUCCUGCCUUAGUCUCUCAAGUGCUGGAUGUGCAAACGUGAGUCAAUGCUAGUUGCUUAAAGUUCUUUCACACACACACACACACACACACACAAAUAAAUAUUCCAUAGUAUUAUUUGACUAUAAAUCCUAAAAUAUAAAAUUAUAUGCUUUUUAAUUUAUCUAUAUAUUAUCAAACAUCUAAUAUAGAUUGAGAUGAUUGGGGUUUGAGGACAGAGGGGGAGCUCCACAUUUCAAGAGUCUCCAAAAAAUAUCAUGAGAAAAAAUUCUUAG